rnacentral:lncRNA from 1 species
CAUCACUGACUCAAUGGACGUGAGUCUGAGUGAACUCCGGGAGUUGGUGCCACCGAAAUCAUGAAACUUCCUUGAAAACGGUUAUCUUCAAAUUCCAUGUGAAAUUGGCUAUCUCUUGCAUAAUAUAUUAACUUUUGUUAUCAAAGUAAUGUCACUGGUUUUGCUCAAAAGUUUAAGUAAAAUGGACAUUUUCUUAAAAAAAAAAAUCUGUCCUCUUACUCCUGUGCCUUCUGCUGCUGCUGAUAAUCCUGUGGGUGCAGGGACCCAAGCUGAGAAGCAGGGACCCAAGGCUCCUCCUCUAGACCCAGAGAUGAGGGCACCAUUUGGCUGACUUUUACUAGAAGUCCCAGGAGAGCCCUCCACCCCCCACCUCCAGGCAGCUGGAUGCUAAACAUGCGGUAUCUGGCAGGACUCUGCCUCCCAGCAAGCUCAGAUAAUUAUCCCCAAACCCAUCCAUUUUCUCAUCUUCCUCCAGGGUCUGUCGGGGGUGACUCACUCUGGGACAUGAAAUAGCUGGUGGGUUUUUCCACGAGGUCGCUUUGUCUUUGCUGCUCUUGUUUCCAUGAUUCUUUGGUGGCUCCUGAGGCUUUAUCACCCCUGACACAUGACUUCCUUCUUGGCCUCACGCUUCUCUUUGACUGAGGUGGGCCUGAGUACAUGCCCACGUCCUUCCUUUAAUCUCAGUUUAAUCUGCUUUCUUAUGUUUUAACUACAGUGGAGUGGAAAGAGCGUGGGGUUUUGAGCCAAGCAGAGCUGGUUGCCGCCCCGGCUCUGCUGUUAACUGGCUGUGUAACAGUGUGGAAACGGUGUCACGGCUCCUGGCCACAAUAUGCUCAUCAGGGCACAUGGGAACGGUCACAUCCAUUUUCCAGAAUGUUGUGAGGAAUAAAGGUUAGGUCUGUAGAUGCACGUACCUUAUUUAGCAUCUGGCACAGAGUAAAUGAGAAAUGCGAUUCUCAUUUCUUUCCUUCUACUGGAGAGAGAGUCUAGCUCUGUAAUCUGAAACUCUGGUUGGUGUUGGUGCCCAGUGAAGAGCCAGAGGCAGUGACACCCGCAGGCAGCCAACCCGGGGGGCAGGGGGUAGGGUGCCAGCCUUAGUAUCUCCAGCUCCUACUCAGGGGGCUUACAGCUAUGAUUCAACAAAUAUCUCUAGACUGAAUAAAUGGAUAAAGAGACAAGAGAUCACUUUCUUCCAGAACAAUAAAGGACUGUAGAUGAAUCAGUUCAGUUCAGUUCAGUUCAGUUGCUCAGUCGUGUCCGACUCU